rnacentral:rRNA from 1 species
GCCCCACUAGUCUGGGAGUACCACUUGGAAACAGGUGCUAAUACCGGAUAAGAAAGCGGAUCGCAUGAUCAGCUUUUAAAAGGCGGCGUAAGCUGUCGCUAUGGGAUGGCCCCGCGGUGCAUUAGCUAGUUGGUAAGGUAAAGGCUUACCAAGGCGAUGAUGCAUAGCCGAGUUGAGAGACUGAUCGGCCACAUUGGGACUGAGACACGGCCCAAACUCCUACGGGAGGCAGCAGGG